CAGUCGCCGCGGUAAUACGAAGGGGGCUAGCGUUGUUCGGAAUUACUGGGCGUAAAGCGCACGCAGGCGGCUCGAUAAAUUAGAAGUGAAAGCCUUGGGCUUAACCUGAGAAUUGCUUUUAAGACUGUCGAGCUAGAAUCCAGAAGAGGGUAGUGGAAUUCCGAGUGUAGAGGUGAAAUUCGUAGAUAUUCGGAAGAACACCAGUGGCGAAGGCGACUACCUGGUCUGGCAUUGACGCUCAUGUGCGAAAGCGUGGGGAGCAAACAGGAUUAGAUACCCGGGUAGUCCCUGUCUCUUAUAC
rnacentral:rRNA from 1 species